rnacentral:rRNA from 1 species
CCUACGGGCGGCAGCAGUGAGGAAUAUUGGUCAAUGGCCGAGAGGCUGAACCAGCCAAGUCGCGUGAGGGAUGACGGCCCUACGGGUUGUAAACCUCUUUUGUCGGGGAGCAAAGAGAGUCACGUGUGGCUCAUUGAGAGUACCCUAAGAAAAAGCAUCGGCUAACUCCUUGCCCGCAGCCGCGGUAAUACGGAGGAUGCGAGCGUUGUCCGGAUUUAUUGGGUUUAAGGGGUGCGCAGGCGGAUGUGCAAGUCAGUGGUCAACUUGCGGGGCUCAACCCCGUACUGCCGUUGAAACUGCAGGCCUUGAGUGCGCGAGAAGCAUGCGGAAUGCGUGGUGUAGCGGUGAAAUGCAUAGAUAUCACGAAGAACUCCGAUUGCGAAGGCAGCAUACCGGCGCGCAACUGACGCUGAUGCACGAAAGCGUGGGUAUCGAACAGGAUUAGAUACCCCAGUAGUC